AUUGAACGCUGGCGGCAGGCCUAACACAUGCAAGUCGAACGGUAGCACAGAGAGCUUGCUCUCGGGCGACGAGUGGCGGACGGGUGAGUAAUGUCUGGGAAACUGCCCGAUGGAGGGGGAUAACUACUGGAAACGGUAGCUAAUACCGCAUAACGUCGCAAGACCAAAGUGGGGGACCUUCGGGCCUCACACCAUCGGAUGUGCCCAGAUGGGAUUAGCUAGUAGGUGGGGUAAUGGCUCACCUAGGCGACGAUCCCUAGCUGGUCUGAGAGGAUGACCAGCCACACUGGAACUGAGAAACGGUCCAGACUCCUACGGGAGGCAGCAGUGGGGAAUAUUGCACAAUGGGCGCAAGCCUGAUGCAGCCAUGCCGAGUGUAUGAAGAAGGCCUUCGGGUUGUAAAGUACUUUCAGCGGGGAGGAAGGCGGUGAAGUUAAUAACUUCACCGAUUGACGUUACCCGCAGAAGAAGCACCGGCUAACUCCGUGCCAGCCGCCGCGGUAA
rnacentral:rRNA from 1 species